UACGAAGGGUGCAAGCGUUAAUCGGAAUUACUGGGCGUAAAGCGUGCGUAGGUGGUUUCCUAAGUCCGUUGUGAAAGCCCUGGGCUCAACCUGGGAACGGCAGUGGAUACUGGGAAGCUGGAGUGCGGUAGAGGAUGGCGGAAUUCCCGGUGUAGCGGUGAAAUGCGUAGAGAUCGGGAGGAACGUCAGUGGCGAAGGCGGCCAUCUGGACCAGCACUGACGCUGAGGCACGAAAGCGUGGGGAGCAAACAGG
rnacentral:rRNA from 1 species